UCCUCAAUCCUUUUUUUUUUCUUUUUUUUUUCUUUUCCUUUUCUUUUCUUUUCUCUUCUCUUUUACUUUAAUCUUCCGGUCCUUAUAUUAUCAUUACAUUUAUUUGUAUGACUAGAUCGUUUAGAUUCUUAAAUAGGAGUUAACGUAGAAGUUCUAAUGAACUUUUCAAGGAGUAGAUUGAUUCUUUAUCGGUUUUGCCCA